GAUGAACGCUGGCGGCGUGCCUAAUACGUGCAAGUCGAGCGAACGGACGAGAAGCUUGCUUCUCUGAUGUUAGCGGCGGACGGGUGAGUAACACGUGGAUAACCUACCUAUAAGACUGGGAUAACUUCGGGAAACCGGAGCUAAUACCGGAUAAUAUUUUGAACCGCAUGGUUCAAAAGUGAAAGACGGUCUUGCUGUCACUUAUAGAUGGAUCCGCGCUGCAUUAGCUAGUUGGUAAGGUAACGGCUUACCAAGGCAACGAUGCAUAGCCGACCUGAGAGGGUGAUCGGCCACACUGGAACUGAGACACGGUCCAGACUCCUACGGGAGGCAGCAGUAGGGAAUCUUCCGCAAUGGGCGAAAGCCUGACGGAGCAACGCCGCGUGAGUGAUGAAGGUCUUCGGAUCGUAAAACUCUGUUAUUAGGGAAGAACAUAUGUGUAAGUAACUGUGCACAUCUUGACGGUACCUAAUCAGAAAGCCGCGGCUAACUACGUGCCAGCAGCCGCGGUAAUACGUAAGUGGCAAGCGUUAUCCGGAAUUAUUGGGCGUAAAGCGCGCGUAGGCGGUUUUUUAAGUCUGAUGUGAAAGCCCACGGCUCAACCGUGGAGGGUCAUUGGAAACUGGAAAACUUGAGUGCAGAAGAGGAAGGUGGAAUUCCAUGUGUAGCGGUGAAAUGCGCAGAGAUAUGGAGGAACACCAGUGGCGAAGGCGACUUUCUGGUCUGUAACUGACGCUGAUGUGCGAAAGCGUGGGGAUCAAACAGGAUUAGAUACCCUGGUAGUCCACGCCGUAAACGAUGAGUGCUAAGUGUUAGGGGGUUUCCGCCCCUUAGUGCUGCAGCUAACGCAUUAAGCACUCCGCCUGGGGAGUACGACCGCAAGGUUGAAACUCAAAGGAAUUGACGGGGACCCGCACAAGCGGUGGAGCAUGUGGUUUAAUUCGAAGCAACGCGAAGAACCUUACCAAAUCUUGACAUCCUUUGACAACUCUAGAGAUAGAGCCUUCCCCUUCGGGGGACAAAGUGACAGGUGGUGCAUGGUUGUCGUCAGCUCGUGUCGUGAGAUGUUGGGUUAAGUCCCGCAACGAGCGCAACCCUUAAGCUUAGUUGCCAUCAUUAAGUUGGGCACUCUAAGUUGACUGCCGGUGACAAACCGGAGGAAGGUGGGGAUGACGUCAAAUCAUCAUGCCCCUUAUGAUUUGGGCUACACACGUGCUACAAUGGACAAUACAAAGGGCAGCGAAACCGCGAGGUCAAGCAAAUCCCAUAAAGUUGUUCUCAGUUCGGAUUGUAGUCUGCAACUCGACUACAUGAAGCUGGAAUCGCUAGUAAUCGUAGAUCAGCAUGCUACGGUGAAUACGUUCCCGGGUCU
rnacentral:rRNA from 1 species